GGCUGGCUCCUGUCACGCAGCGCUGCCUCGGAAACAACUGGGAAAUACUCACGGAGACUUUGAACGGGACAAACUCCUCACUCAGGAAUGCACACACUCCCGUACCUGGACCCCUCCCAGUUGCCCCAGCUGCCAGCCAGGGGAGUUCCUGGCAGAGUGAUUUCGGAAUCAGGACUGAAUCACAUUGCCAGGGAUUUCCAAUGGCCGGCAGGCACUGUGCAGCCCAGCCCCAGAGAGCUGGAGGCUCGAGUCGGGAACACCUCGGAAUGGGAACGCCUCAGAAUGGGAACGCCGCACGUGGCUCUGUGGUGCCAGGACUUAGCCCGCGUGUGAACACUGUGUCCUCUCCCUGUUCACAGUGGUUAAGUUCUGCCCCCCCUGGGCCUCACCAUAGAGGCGAGGAAUUUGACCCCCCCCUUUGUGUUUGUAGUCUUAUAGGAGUUUGUCUGAAAGCAGCCCAUCCCUUUGUGUUUGUAGUCUUAUAGGAGUCCGUCUGAAAGUAGCCCAUCCCUUUGUGUUUGUAGUCUUAUAGGAGUUUGUCUGAAAGCAGCCCAUCCCCUUUGUGUUUGUAGUCUUAUAGGAGUCCGUUUGAAAGUAGCCCAUCCCUUUGUGUUUGUAGUCUUAUAGUUUGUCUGAAAGUAGCCCAUCCCUUUGUGUUUGUAGUCUUAUAGGAGUCCGUCUGAAAGUAGCCCAUCCCUUUGUGUUUGUAGUCUUAUAGGAGUCCGUCUGAAAGUAGCCCAUCCCUUUGUGUUUGUAGUCUUAGCCUAGCCCUUCGUGCUUACCCGAUACAUCGAGAACCAUUUUAUCCGUCAGUAGCUGAAUUGAUUAGAUUGUGCGCUGAUCACCUCACCUUUGGUAUCCGUGAUGCUCAGAGUGCGUCCACGUUCGGAGAUGUCCCGCUCUCUCGGUCUGUCCAGAGGACGGAGCGGCUCUGCAGACGUGUCCGUGUCAGAACGGAGCAGGCGCUGGUUUCGCUCGUGGACCGGUCUCCCUCGUGCUCUGGUCUCUCCCGGGCCGGUCUCCUGUGCCUGCUGUGCUGAUAAUCAGUCUCUCUCAUCAGCUGGCUCAGUUCAGCAGGAACAGCAGCCCUGUCCCCUCGAUAGGAGAGAGGAAGGAGAGGGAGCGUGCAAGAGCAUCCAUACGGAUCUUUCUACGCGUUUUAACUUCCAUUGCUGUGUUUGGGAACUUUCUCUCCAUGACCACUCUAAAAAUAAGACUCACCAAAUAAACAAGCAUAAAGUGAACCGGUGAAGACAGCGCAGAUGCCACUCGUACAGUAAAGUAGUGUGAGUGAGUGAGAGAGAGACUGAGGAGCAGCUCAACAAAGAAUGUCACUUUGAAAAUAAAGGAAUGAAUUAAACAA